GAGUUUGAUCGUGGCUCAGGAUGAACGCUAGCGGCAGGCUUAACACAUGCAAGUCGAGGGGUAUAGGUUUUCGGACCUAGAGACCGGCGCACGGGUGCGUAACGCGUAUGCAAUCUGCCUUUUACAGAGGGAUAGCCCAGAGAAAUUUGGAUUAAUACCUCAUAGUAUUAUGAAUCGGCAUCGAUUUAUAAUUAAAGUUCCAACGGUAAAAGAUGAGCAUGCGUCCCAUUAGCUAGAUGGUAAGGUAACGGCUUACCAUGGCGACGAUGGGUAGGGGUCCUGAGAGGGAGAUCCCCCACACUGGUACUGAGACACGGACCAGACUCCUACGGGAGGCAGCAGUGAGGAAUAUUGGUCAAUGGGCGCAAGCCUGAACCAGCCAUGCCGCGUGCAGGAUGACGGUCCUAUGGAUUGUAAACUGCUUUUGUACAGGAAGAAACACUGGUUCGUGAACCAGCUUGACGGUACUGUAAGAAUAAGGAUCGGCUAACUCCGUGCCAGCAGCCGCCGC
rnacentral:rRNA from 1 species